rnacentral:rRNA from 1 species
CACGUAGGAGGCGAGCGUUGUCCGGAAUCAUUGGGCGUAAAGAGCGCGCAGGCGGCUUGGCAAGUCGGGUGUGAAAUCCCGGGGCUCAACCCCGUGACUGCAUCCGAUACUGUCAGGCUAGAGGUAGGUAGGGGGAGAUCGGAAUUCCUGGUGUAGCGGUGAAAUGCGCAGAUAUCAGGAGGAACACCGGUGGCGAAGGCGGAUCUCUGGGCCUUACCUGACGCUCAGGCGCGAAAGCUAGGGGAGCGAACAGG